rnacentral:ncRNA from 1 species
CGAUAGAGGCGCAAUGUUCAUCAGUACCCGGCGGCAGCCGCUCAAACGGCGACGCACGUUUUUUGCCGCUGCGGGAAAGGGACCAUUGCCGAGGGGCGACGCUGUUUGAGAAGCGCCGUUCCGGGCAGCAGCGAGAACAUCCUGCUGACUGUCGCAAAUUGCGGAGCGCUAUC